rnacentral:rRNA from 1 species
AUUGAACGCUGGCGGCAUGCCUUACACAUGCAAGUCGAACGGUAACAGGUCUUCGGAUGCUGACGAGUGGCGAACGGGUGAGUAAUACAUCGGAACGUGCCCGAUCGUGGGGGAUAACGAAACGAAAGCUUUGCUAAUACCGCAUAAGAUCUACGGAUGAAAGCAGGGGACCGCAAGGCCUUGCGCGAACGGAGCGGCCGAUGGCAGAUUAGGUAGUUGGUGGGAUAAAAGCUUACCAAGCCGACGAUCUGUAGCUGGUCUGAGAGGACGACCAGCCACACUGGGACUGAGACACGGCCCAGACUCCUACGGGAGGCAGCAGUGGGGAAUUUUGGACAAUGGGCGAAAGCCUGAUCCAGCCAUGCCGCGUGCAGGAUGAAGGCCUUCGGGUUGUAAACUGCUUUUGUACGGAACGAAAAGACUCUUUCUAAUAAAGAGGGUCCAUGACGGUACCGUAAGAAUAAGCACCGGCUAACUACGUGCCAGCAGCCGCAGUAACAC